rnacentral:rRNA from 1 species
UAGGGAAUCUUCGGCAAUGGACGAAAGUCUGACCGAGCAAUGCCGCGUGAGUGAAGAAGGUUUUCGGAUCGUAAAACUCUGUUGUUAGAGAAGAACAAGGACGUUAGUAACUGAACGUCCCCUGACGGUAUCUAACCAGAAAGCCACGGCUAACUACGUGCCAGCAGCCGCGGUAAUACGUAGGUGGCAAGCGUUGUCCGGAUUUAUUGGGCGUAAAGCGAGCGCAGGCGGCUUCUUAAGUCUGAUGUGAAAGCCCCCGGCUCAACCGGGGAGGGUCAUUGGAAACUGGGAGACUUGAGUGCAGAAGAGGAGAGUGGAAUUCCAUGUGUAGCGGUGAAAUGCGUAGAUAUAUGGAGGAACACCAGUGGCGAAGGCGGCUCUCUGGUCUGUAACUGACGCUGAGGCUCGAAAGCGUGGGGAGCAAACAGG